CCUACGGGAGGCAGCAGUGAGGAAUAUUGGUCAAUGGACGGAAGUCUGAACCAGCCAUGCCGCGUGCAGGAAGACGGCUCUAUGAGUUGUAAACUGCUUUUGUACAAGGGUAAACCUGAAUACGUGUAUUCAGCUGAAAGUACUGUACGAAUAAGGAUCGGCUAACUCCGUGCCAGCAGCCGCGGUAAUACGGAGGAUCCAAGCGUUAUCCGGAUUUAUUGGGUUUAAAGGGUGCGUAGGCGGAUUUGUAAGCUCGCGGUGAAAUCUCCGGGCUUAACUCCGGUAGUGCCUCUGAUACUGUUGGUCUAGAGAGCAGAGGCGGUAUGCGGAAUGCGUGGUGUAGCGGUGAAAUGCAUAGAUAUCGUGCAGAACACCGAUUGCGAAGGCAGCGUACCGGUCUGUAACUGACGCUGAGGCACGAAAGCGUGGGGAGCGAACAGGAUUAGAUACCCCUGUAGUC
rnacentral:rRNA from 1 species